rnacentral:rRNA from 1 species
CCUACGGGUGGCAGCAGUGAGGAAUAUUGGUCAAUGGUCGUGAGACUGAACCAGCCAAGUCGCGUGAGGGAUGAAGGUUCUGUGGAUCGUAAACCUCUUUUAUCAGGGAAUAAAGAGUGGGACGUGUCCUCUUUUGUAUGUACCUUAUGAAUAAGGAUCGGCUAACUCCGUGCCAGCAGCCGCGGUAAUACGGAGGAUCCGAGCGUUAUCCGGAUUUAUUGGGUUUAAAGGGUGCGUAGGCGGCCUUUUAAGUCAGCGGUGAAAGUCUGGGGCUCAACCCUAGCAUUGCCGUUGAAACUGGCGGGCUUGAGUAUGUGUGAGGCAGGCGGAAUGCGUGGUGUAGCGGUGAAAUGCUUAGAUAUCACGCAGAACACCGAUUGCGAAGGCAGCCUGCCAAGCCAUGACUGACGCUGAUGCACGAAAGCGUGGGUAUCAAACAGGAUUAGAUACCCUAGUAGUC